rnacentral:rRNA from 1 species
UCAAGAUACUAAGGGUGCACGGUGGAUGUCUUGGCGGUAAGAGCCGAUGACGAACGUGGCUUAACUGCGAUAAGCUUCGGGGAGCUGUAAGCAAGCUUUGAUCCGGAGAUCUUCUAAUUAUCAUGCACUGAAUGAAUAGGUGUAUGAAGGGAACCGAGGGAACUGAAACAUCUUAGUACCUCGAGGAAAAGAAAGUAAAAACGAUUACCUGAGUAGCGGCGAGCGAAACGGUACCAGCCCAAACCAUAUACUUGUAUAUGGGGUCGCGGGAAUAGAGUCAUGGUAUCAAAUGACGAUAGGAGAAUGGGGUGGAAACCCCAACCACAGAAGGUGACAGUCCUGUAUCCGAAAUCUGAUUUUGGCCUAUCUAUCUCCCAAGUACUGCGGAGCACGAGAAAUUCCGUGGGAAUUUGCGAGGACCACCUCGUAAGGCUAAAUACUUCUUACCGACCGAUAGCGUAUAGUAGGGUGACUGAAAGAUGAAAAGUACUCCGCAAGGAGAGUUAAAAGUACCUGAAACCGUGUACCUACAAGCAGUGGGAGACCUAUGAUUCCGUUUCGGCGGGAUAAUGGUUGACCGCGUGCCUUUUGAAUGAUGAUCCGGCGAGUUGCUGUCUGUGGCGAGCUUAAGUCCUUUUGGGACGAAGGCGCAGCGAAAGCGAGUGCUAAUAGCGCGUAUAUAGUCGCAGGGAGCAGACGCGAAACCGUAGUGAUCUAUCCCAGUCCAGGAUGAAGCGAGAGUAAAAUCUCGUGGAGGUCCGAACCCACUGGUGCUGAAAAACCAGGGGAUGAGGUUGGGAUAGGACUGAAAGUGUAAUCAAACUCGGAAAUAUCUCGUUCUCCCCGAAAUAUAUUGAGGUAUAGCGUCAUGUUAUUACUUUGCGGGGGUAGAGGACAGACUGAAUGCGGGGGACCACCAUCCUACCAACUUCAAACAAACUCCGAAUACCGCAAAGCUUAUCAUGGCAGUCAGACAGUGGGGGACAAGCUCCAUUGUCAAGAGGGAAAGAGCCCAGAUCGCCGAUUAAGGCCCCAAAAUCAUGUCUAAGUGGUUGAAGGAAGUGAAGGUGCUAAGACAGCUGGGAUGUUGGCUUAGAAGCAGCCACCAUUUAAAAAGUGCGUAAUAGCUUACCAGUCGAGCACUUUUGCGCCGAAAAUUAACGGGACUAAAGACAUGUGCCGAAGUCGCGGAUUAUGAUUGUUCUUCGGAACUUUCAUAGUGGUAGGGGAGCGUAGCAUACGGGUUGAAGCCGUACCGUGAGGAACGAGGGAGUACCCAAGUGGACUGUAUGCUAGUGAUAAUGCCGGAAUGAGUAACGAUAAAAGGGGUGAGAAUCCCCUUCGCCGCAAAUCCAAGGUUUCCUGGGCAAGGUCAUUCCUCCCAGGGUUAGGCGGGACCUAAGACAAGGCCGAAAGGCGUAGUCGAUUGGACAGCAGAUUAAUAUUUCUGCCCUGCAACUGAGGUUAACAUACGGAAGGACGGAGAAGGCUAAUUGCGGGUGGAUCCGCUGGCUGGACCAUGUAACGGUGUAGGCUUGGGCGAGUUAAAUGCUUUCCCUAUAAAGGCUGAGACCGGAUGCCAAGGCUUAAUAGCUUAUAAGCCGCUGAUGCCAUGCUUCCAAGAAAAGCUUCGUAUGUUCAAGGUUGUACCCGUACCGCAAACCGACACAGGUGGAUGAGGAGAGUAUCCUCAGGCGCGCGAGAGAACCGCAGUUAAGGAACUCGGCAAAAUUGAUCCGUAACUUAGGGAUAAGGAUCGCCUCUUAAGGUGAAGGACUUGCUCCGUAAGCUUUGAGAGGCCACAGCAAAGAGGCCCGAGCGACUGUUUACCAAAAACACAGGUCUGUGCUAACACGCAAGUGGAUGUAUACAGACUGACGCCUGCCCGAUGCUGGAAGGUUAAAGUAAGUGGUGCAAGCUACGAACUGAAGCCCCAGUGAAUGGCGGCCGUAACUAUGACGGUCCUAAGGUAGCGAAGUUCCUUGUCGGGUAAGUUCCGACGUGCAUGAAUGGCGUAACGACUUGGGCGCUGUCUCAACUGCGGACUCGGUGAAAUUGUAGGAGUCGUGAAGAUGCGACUUACCCGUGGCAAGACGGAAAGACCCCGUGAACCUUAACUAUAGGCUAAUAUUGGCUUUUUGUAUGGUUUGUGUAGGAUAGGUGGGAGGCAUUGAAGUUUGGACGCCAGUCCAGAUGGAGCCGUUGGUGAAAUACCACUCUUUCUAUAUGAAAAGUCUAACCUGGUCCCGUGAAUCCGGGCUGGGAACAGUUUUAGUUGGGUAGUUUGACUGGGGCGGUCUCCUCCUAAAGAGUAACGGAGGAGUUCAAAGGUUCCCUCAGUACGGUUGGCAACCGUACAAAGAGUGUAUAGGCAUAAGGGAGCUUGACUGCGAGAGAGAUAUUUCGAGCAGGUGCGAAAGCAGGACUAAGUGACCCCGCGAUCCUGAGUGGAAGGGUCGUGGCUCAUCAGAUAAAAGGUACUCCGGGGAUAACAGGCUGAUCUCUCCCAAGCGUUCACAGCGACGGGGAGGUUUGGCACCUCGAUGUCGGCUCAUCGUAUCCUGGGGCUGCAGUAGGUCCCAAGGGUUUGGCUGUCCGCCAAUUAAAACGGUACGCGAGCUGGGUUCAGACCGGCGUGAGCCAGGUCGGUCCCUAUCUGCCAUGGGCGUAGGACGAUUGCGAAGAACUGACUUUAGUACGAGAGGACUUAGUCGGACGAACCUCUGGUGUUCCAGUUGUACCGCCAGGUGCAGCGCUGGGUAGCUACGUUCGGAACGGAUAAACGCUGAAAGCAUCUAAGCGUGAAGCCAGCUUCAAGAUUAGUCGUCCCUGAAGGUAACUUAUAGACUAUGAGUUUGAUAGGCUGGGUGUGUAAGAGUGGUAACAUUUUUAGCUAACCAGUACUAAUCAACCGAUCGGCUUGAUCGC